GGGGGGUGUGUUGGAGGGGGCGGCCUGCUUGGAAGCCCCCGCGCCGCCCGCGGGCACCUCCGCACCCUGCUCCCCGCCGCCGCCGCCGAGGGCCGGAUCCGGGUUCUGCCACGCACGAGUAUCCAAACUGGAAAGAGCAGGAUUCACAAUCAGUGCUGGUGGUUGCGCAGGCCCUGUGACAGAUACUUGCUAGGGGAAGGGCUCAACAGCUGCAUCCCAUUCUCCCCCAUUUUCUGAGACCCUUCAGUCCAUGGAACUGGACUUUAUCAAGUACAGCUACAUGGAAACUGUGACUUCACUGGAACCAAUCAAGACAAUCAAGAAAACCAAGGUGCUACUUCAAAUCCUGACCUGUUCAAUGAAAAGCAUGUUCACUUUUGUGGCUAAUUUGCCUGACCAAGAAGUUAAGAGUAAAAGUUAAAUUAUACAUUUUUUUCCUGGUAUAUAGAAGUCAUGAGUUUUAGUUAGUUAAUACCUGUGUAGCUUUUCUUAAAGGUAAAAUACAUUUGAUAACUGUAGCAUGUUUAACAGUAAGGACUAGGCAGAACACCUCAGUUAGAAUUUUUCAAAGGCACUUAUGGUAGGUUUCCCCAAAAUUCCGUAGGUCUUGGAUGCAGUAAAGUCUAAUUUACUGAGAUGCUUGAACCAAAGCAGAUUUGUUAUCUUGAUAUAUAUCUCUGUGUGUAUACUGUUAUUUCAACAUUUUAAAAUGUUGUUUCAAUUUGCCUAAGUGCAGUUGCAAAAAAAUAAACAUGAAUGCAGGGGAUGCAAACUUGCUAGAACAUCCCCAAAAAAAUUGUUGGCUGGUAGACAGUUGUCAGGAGCAUCAGACUUAUGGAUACUGUAAAAUGCCUGUAGCCUUGCUUCAUCCUUUGCCAUGUUAAAGCCUCGGAAAGCCAGGUUUGCUGGAUGUGUGGAAAUGCUUUGAGUUUGGGCCCCUCAUCUUUUGGGGAAUAAAGUUCAAAAUUAAGAAUUCCACUACGCAUAGAUUUGUUCUGGGAGAAACUAUAAGUGCCUAAACUCACCUCUAUCUCCUUUCUUGCUUAAGAUCAAUGUGGUACAGUACAGUACAGUAUUAGUGCAGCCUUGUAUCCAAGUUGUACCUUAAUCUGAUCGCACCUGUGUUGAGCAAAAGACAUGAAUUAUAAAAGAAGCUGUU